GCAGUGCAGGACUUAGUUGCUUGUGAGCAGUGCCUUGCUUUCUGUCUUGUUCACAGUGGCUAAGUUCCACACCUC
ensembl:miRNA pma-mir-27a pma-mir-27a